rnacentral:rRNA from 4 species
AGAGUUUGAUCAUGGCUCAGAUUGAACGCUGGCGGCAGGCCUAACACAUGCAAGUCGAACGGUAACAGGAAUCAGCUUGCUGAUUCGCUGACGAGUGGCGGACGGGUGAGUAAUGUCUGGGAAACUGCCUGAUGGAGGGGGAUAACUACUGGAAACGGUAGCUAAUACCGCAUAACGUCGCAAGACCAAAGAGGGGGACCUUCGGGCCUCUUGCCAUCGGAUGUGCCCAGAUGGGAUUAGCUUGUUGGUGGGGUAACGGCUCACCAAGGCGACGAUCCCUAGCUGGUCUGAGAGGAUGACCAGCCACACUGGAACUGAGACACGGUCCAGACUCCUACGGGAGGCAGCAGUGGGGAAUAUUGCACAAUGGGCGCAAGCCUGAUGCAGCCAUGCCGCGUGUAUGAAGAAGGCCUUCGGGUUGUAAAGUACUUUCAGCGGGGAGGAAGGGAGUAAAGUUAAUACCUUUGCUCAUUGACGUUACCCGCAGAAGAAGCACCGGCUAACUCCGUGCCAGCAGCCGCGGUAAUACGGAGGGUGCAAGCGUUAAUCGGAAUUACUGGGCGUAAAGCGCACGCAGGCGGUUUGUUAAGUCAGAUGUGAAAUCCCCGGGCUCAACCUGGGAACUGCAUCUGAUACUGGCAAGCUUGAGUCUCGUAGAGGGGGGUAGAAUUCCAGGUGUAGCGGUGAAAUGCGUAGAGAUCUGGAGGAAUACCGGUGGCGAAGGCGGCCCCCUGGACGAAGACUGACGCUCAGGUGCGAAAGCGUGGGGAGCAAACAGGAUUAGAUACCCUGGUAGUCCACGCCGUAAACGAUGUCGACUUGGAGGUUGUGCCCUUGAGGCGUGGCUUCCGGAGCUAACGCGUUAAGUCGACCGCCUGGGGAGUACGGCCGCAAGGUUAAAACUCAAAUGAAUUGACGGGGGCCCGCACAAGCGGUGGAGCAUGUGGUUUAAUUCGAUGCAACGCGAAGAACCUUACCUGGUCUUGACAUCCACGGAAGUUUUCAGAGAUGAGAAUGUGCCUUCGGGAACCGUGAGACAGGUGCUGCAUGGCUGUCGUCAGCUCGUGUUGUGAAAUGUUGGGUUAAGUCCCGCAACGAGCGCAACCCUUAUCCUUUGUUGCCAGCGGUCCGGCCGGGAACUCAAAGGAGACUGCCAGUGAUAAACUGGAGGAAGGUGGGGAUGACGUCAAGUCAUCAUGGCCCUUACGACCAGGGCUACACACGUGCUACAAUGGCGCAUACAAAGAGAAGCGACCUCGCGAGAGCAAGCGGACCUCAUAAAGUGCGUCGUAGUCCGGAUUGGAGUCUGCAACUCGACUCCAUGAAGUCGGAAUCGCUAGUAAUCGUGGAUCAGAAUGCCACGGUGAAUACGUUCCCGGGCCUUGUACACACCGCCCGUCACACCAUGGGAGUGGGUUGCAAAAGAAGUAGGUAGCUUAACCUUCGGGAGGGCGCUUACCACUUUGUGAUUCAUGACUGGGGUGAAGUCGUAACAAGGUAACCGUAGGGGAACCUGCGGUUGGAUCACCU